rnacentral:rRNA from 1 species
UGGGGAAUAUUGGACAAUGGACCGAGAGUCUGAUCCAGCAAUUCUGUGUGCACGAUGAAGUUUUUCGGAAUGUAAAGUGCUUUCAGUUGGGAAGAAAGAAAUGACGGUAUCAACAGAAGAAGUGACGGCUAAAUACGUGCCAGCAGCCGCGGUAAUACGUAUGUCACGAGCGUUAUCCGGAUUUAUUGGGCGUAAAGCGCGUCUAGGUGGUUAUGUAAGUCUGAUGUGAAAAUGCAGGGCUCAACUCUGUAUUGCGUUGGAAACUGUAUAACUAGAGUACUGGAGAGGUAAGCGGAACUACAAGUGUAGAGGUGAAAUUCGUAGAUAUUUGUAGGAAUGCCGAUGGGGAAGCCAGCUUACUGGACAGAUACUGACGCUAAAGCGCGAAAGCGUGGGUAGCAAACAGGAUUAGAUACCCUGGUAGUCCACGCUGUAAACGAUGAUUACUAGGUGUUGGGGGUCGAACCUCAGCGCCCAAGCAAACGCGAUAAGUAAUCCGCCUGGGGAGUACGUACGCAAGUAUG